UAUUCGUAGUCAGACUGACAGGUUGAGGACUGGGCCCUGGUCACCCUUCAGCAAAGCCCCGGUCUAGGGGUGCGGGACAAUGAAAAGGUCCAGAGAUGUAAAGUGACUUGACCAAUGAUACACAGGAUUCCCUCUGGCUACAGCAGUUCAGAGCCUGGCCUGAGUACCCCAACCUGGCAUUUUGAGAAGAUUUCAGGAAGAUGUCCCAGGAAGAGCCAUCCGGAGCUGCUGGAGAUCAAACCAGAACCUGAACAUGUUAGUCUGAUACCUCUGUACAAUAAGAUGGAGAAAGGUGAUCAAGCAGCAACCUCAAGAUGGAGAUGUACAAUAAGUGAUCUUGUGAUUAUGCUCAAGAGAAGGGUUUCUUCAAAAAGAGGGAGUAAAAGAAGCUUCCAGUUCAUGAUGUGAAUUAGGCAUGAGACAGGCAGGAAUGGAUCCAAGAAUACACCAAAAAAGGACAUAGAAGUCAAGCUGGCCAUGAGAAAUCCAGCAGUAAGGCAGUGCCACUGCAUCAGGAGAAAGGGAACAAGGAGGGACGACGUAAUCAGACUUGCUCUUUAGAAAGAUCACCUUGUCAGUUGGACAGAAGAUUUCCCCCUGAGAGCGGGGAAAGAACAGAGUUUCAGGUGUCAGAAGUGAUUUCCCACUGGACCACUAGGUAGAAACAUUGCAGGAUUGCAUGCUGGGUAAUUCAUCCAGCCAUCUCAGUAUGGAAACCUUGAGAAGUCAGAUCUCCAGGGAUUCUACUAGCAAGGGACUUGUGGACUUGGAACUAGGACUGGGCUCUACAAGCACCAAACUAAGCUAAGAACUUCAUCCCCUUCCUUUCACCAGAGACAAAGGUAAUACAAAGGGGAAAGGUGAUAAUGUCUCCCUUGUGUUGAGGGGAGAGUGAAUUGUAUACUUAUGAUUAUUCCGCUUUGUAAAAAUUCUAGUUUUAUCAUGGGGUAAUAAAUUAACUUGAUUCAGUGGACAUUUAAGAGAGCAAAAUACCCCUAGUUAUUGCUUUUGUUUUAUGACUUUCCUGAGUGUACUUAACGGAAUAGCAAUCCCAAGAUGGACAUGUCCAGCCUCAUAAACAACCUCAUAAAAAUUAUGGAGCUCAAAUUGGGAUUCAGUGUUAGUGGAGUUGUGAACUAAUCCAAUCAUUCUGGAGAGCAAUUUGGAACUAUGUCUAAAAGGUAAUCAAACUGCACAUCCUUUGAUCCAGCAAUACUAGAUCUAUAUUCGAAAAGGACUUUUAUAUAUACAAAAAUAGUAAUAGCAGCUCUUUUCCUGGUGGCAAAAUACUGGAAACUGAAGGGAUGUCCAUCAACUGGGAAGUGGCUAAAUGUAAUGAAUUGGGCAAUAAGAAAUGAUGAGAGGAAGAUUUCAAAAAAACCUGAAAAGACUUGGACAAACUGAU